rnacentral:rRNA from 1 species
ACUCCACGAAGUUGGAUUCGCUAGUAAUCGCGCAUCAGCCAUGGCGCGGUGAAUACGUUCCCGGGCCUUGUACACACCGCCCGUCAAGCCAUGGAAGCCGGGAGUACCUGAAGAUCGUGACCGCGAGGAACGGGCUAGGGUAAUACCGGUAACUGGGGCUAAGUCGUAACAAGGUAAC